AGCUUACAAAGGAUAAUAGUCUAUCCAGUGGUCUUAGGAACCAAAAACUCUUGGUGCAAAUCCAAGUGAAAGCU
rnacentral:tRNA from 1 species